rnacentral:rRNA from 1 species
CUACGUGCCAGCAGCCGCGGUAAUACGGAAGGUCCAGGCGUUAUCCGGAUUUAUUGGGUUUAAAGGGAGCGUAGGCUGGAGAUUAAGUGUGUUGUGAAAUGUAGACGCUCAACGUCUGAAUUGCAGCGCAUACUGGUUUCCUUGAGUACGCACAACGUUGGCGGAAUUCGUCGUGUAGCGGUGAAAUGCUUAGAUAUGACGAAGAACUCCGAUUGCGAAGGCAGCUGACGGGAGCGCAACUGACGCUUAAGCUCGAAGGUGCGGGUAUCAAACAGGAUUAGAUACCCUGGUAGUCCGCACAGUAAACGAUGGAUGCCCGCUGUUGGUACCUGGUAUCAGCGGCUAAGCGAAAGCAUUAAGCAUCCCACCUGGGGAGUACGCCGGCAACGGUGAAACUCAAAGGAAUUGACGGGGRCCCGCACAAGCGGUGGAGCAUGUGGUUUAAUUCGACGCAACGCGAGGAACCUUACCAGCGUUUGACAUC